UACGUAGGUGGCAAGCGUUGUUCGGAAUUACUGGGCGUAAAGGGUGCGUAGGCGGCUUUCUAAGUCGGAUGUGAAAACUCUGGGCUCAACCCAGAGCCUGCAUCUGAAACUGGAGAGCUAGGGUUUGGAGGGGAAAGCGGAAUUCCAGGUGUAGCGGUGAAAUGCGUAGAUAUCUGGAGGAACACCGGUGGCGAAGGCGGGUCGCUGGGCAGUACUGACGCUGAGGAACGAAAGCUAGGGGAGCAAACAGGA
rnacentral:rRNA from 1 species